ACCUUCGGGGAACGAUAACGGCGUCGAGCGGCGGACGGGUGAGUAAUGCCUAGGAAAUUGCCCUGAUGUGGGGGAUAACCAUUGGAAACGAUGGCUAAUACCGCAUGAUGCCUACGGGCCAAAGAGGGGGACCUUCGGGCCUCUCGCGUCAGGAUAUGCCUAGGUGGGAUUAGCUAGUUGGUGAGGUAAGGGCUCACCAAGGCGACGAUCCCUAGCUGGUCUGAGAGGAUGAUCAGCCACACUGGAACUGAGACACGGUCCAGACUCCUACGGGAGGCAGCAGUGGGGAAUAUUGCACAAUGGGCGCAAGCCUGAUGCAGCCAUGCCGCGUGUGUGAAGAAGGCCUUCGGGUUGUAAAGCACUUUCAGUCGUGAGGAAGGUAGUGUAGUUAAUAGCUGCAUUAUUUGACGUUAGCGACAGAAGAAGCACCGGCUAACUCCGUGCCAGCAGCCGCGGUAAUACGGAGGGUGCGAGCGUUAAUCGGAAUUACUGGGCGUAAAGCGCAUGCAGGUGGUUUGUUAAGUCAGAUGUGAAAGCCCGGGGCUCAACCUCGGAAUUGCAUUUGAAACUGGCAGACUAGAGUACUGUAGAGGGGGGUAGAAUUUCAGGUGUAGCGGUGAAAUGCGUAGAGAUCUGAAGGAAUACCGGUGGCGAAGGCGGCCCCCUGGACAGAUACUGACACUCAGAUGCGAAAGCGUGGGGAGCAAACAGGAUUAGAUACCCUGGUAGUCCACGCCGUAAACGAUGUCUACUUGGAGGUUGUGGCCUUGAGCCGUGGCUUUCGGAGCUAACGCGUUAAGUAGACCGCCUGGGGAGUACGGUCGCAAGAUUAAAACUCAAAUGAAUUGACGGGGGCCCGCACAAGCGGUGGAGCAUGUGGUUUAAUUCGAUGCAACGCGAAGAACCUUACCUACUCUUGACAUCCAGAGAACUUUCCAGAGAUGGAUUGGUGCCUUCGGGAACUCUGAGACAGGUGCUGCAUGGCUGUCGUCAGCUCGUGUUGUGAAAUGUUGGGUUAAGUCCCGCAACGAGCGCAACCCUUAUCCUUGUUUGCCAGCGAGUAAUGUCGGGAACUCCAGGGAGACUGCCGGUGAUAAACCGGAGGAAGGUGGGGACGACGUCAAGUCAUCAUGGCCCUUACGAGUAGGGCUACACACGUGCUACAAUGGCGCAUACAGAGGGCGGCCAACUUGCGAAAGUGAGCGAAUCCCAAAAAGUGCGUCGUAGUCCGGAUUGGAGUCUGCAACUCGACUCCAUGAAGUCGGAAUCGCUAGUAAUCGUGGAUCAGAAUGCCACG
rnacentral:rRNA from 1 species